GGUGGGGGGCGGAGAGCCAAGAGCACCGGAACCGGGAAGCCAAAGCCUGGGUCCCCGAGAGCAAAACCUCGAGCCCACUUGGCUUCCCCACCUCACCCCCGCCUCUAGGUGAGGCAGGACGUCCACUCCUCGGACCCGGAAACUAUCCCCUCGCACACACCGCCCUUCCCGCCGGCCGCCGCCGCUCUGGGCUGCACGUGGACAGAGGGUCUCGGUGACUCGCGACCCCCGCUGCCUCCCUCCGCCAACAGGCCCCGGAGCCCCCAUUCCUCGGGCGACUUCCCUGCGGCAGUGGUUGGGACCCCUUGGAUCGCGACCCGCGCGCUCCCCCUGGCUCCGGACGGUCCCGCCGCCCCCUAGUCACCUCCCUCUCUCCCCACAAAUGCGCCCCCUCUCCGCGCCUUCUCCCUAAAGCCAUUUCCAGCUGCUCUUCCUUCCGAGGCCGGCUAGCCCACCCGCCCAGAUACUGAGUAUUUUACAAAUUGAAGGUUUGUACUGUAGCAACCCUGCACUGAGCAAGUCUACUGGCGCCAUUUUUCCAACAGCAUUUGUUCACUUCAUGCCUCUGUGUCACAUUUUGAUGUGGUAGAAAUGGCAAGAGAACUAGAAUCAGAAGGGGAGCCUGAAGAUGUGACUGAACUGCUGCAAUCUCGCGAUAAAACUUUCAUGGUGAGGAGUUGUUUCUUCUGGAUGAGCAAAGAAAGUGGUUUCUUGAGGUGGGAUCUACUCCUGGUGAAGAUGCUGUGAAGACUCUUGAAAUGACAAGAAAGGAAUGAGAGUAUUACAUAAACUUAGUUGAUAAAGCAGCGGCAGGAUUUGAGGGAAUUGACUCCGAUUUUGAAAGAAGUUCUACUCUGGGUAAAAUGCUAUCCAACAGCAUUGCAGGCUACAGAGAAAUUGUUUGUGAAAGGAAGAGUCAAUCAAUGCAGUCAAUCACUGUUGUCUUAUUUUAAGAAAUUGACACAGCCAUCCCAACCUUCAUUCAGCAACCAUGACCCUGAUCAGUCAGCAGCCAUCCACAUCAAGACAGGACCCUCCGCCAGCAAAAGAUUACAAUUACGGGCUCAGAUGAUGGUUAGCAUUUUUUAGCAAUAAAGUAUUUAUAAAUUAAGUGUA